rnacentral:tRNA from 1 species
GCCUGGUUGGCUCCAUCGGUUGAGCGUCUGACUUCGGCUCAGGUCAUGAUCUCACGGUUCGUGGGUUCAAGCCCCGCGUCGGGCU